rnacentral:rRNA from 1 species
UACGUAGGUGGCAAGCGUUGUCCGGAUUUACUGGGCGUAAAGAGCGCGCAGGCGGUCGUUCAAGUCGCGUGUGAAAGCCCCCGGCUCAACUGGGGAGGGUCACGCGAUACUGAUCGACUCGAAGGCAGGAGAGGGAAGUGGAAUUCCCGGUGUAGUGGUGAAAUGCGUAGAUAUCGGGAGGAACACCAGUGGCGAAGGCGACUACCUGGCCUGUUUCUUGACGCUGAGGCGCGAAAGCUAGGGGAGCAAACGGG